CUACGGAGGGGGUUAGCGUUGUUCGGAAUUACUGGGCGUAAAGCGCACGUAGGCGGACUGGAAAGUCGGGGGUGAAAUCCCGGGGCUCAACCCCGGAACUGCCUCCAAAACUUCCAAUCUAGAGAUCGAGAGAGGUGAGUGGAAUUCCAAGUGUAGAGGUGAAAUUCGUAGAUAUUUGGAGGAACACCAGUGGCGAAGGCGGCUCACUGGCUCGAUACUGACGCUGAGGUGCGAAAGCGUGGGGAGCAAACAGGAUUAGAAACCCUAGUAGUCC
rnacentral:rRNA from 1 species